rnacentral:rRNA from 1 species
AUGCUAGCCGGUAUUCCGCUCGAUGGUGGUUCAAAAACUGCCCUACUGAAUACAAACUACACUGCGGCCAAAGGAAGAUUAAUUGCUCUUGAAGUGAAGCUCGAAGAAUAUACUGUUCCAUUUUUACGAAGGCGGGUCGAUUACGAUGAGUCAUCUCACAAGCCAUACAUGUCGUCCUCAGACCAGGGAAGGGAAGGGAUCACAUCAGCUUCACCGCGGAAGGAGGAGUGCCACUCCGUGGGGCGAGCUCUGAGGGCCUCAUGGCAGGCCGCCUUAUCUGCCACGCAGGACGCCCGGUGGGCCCCACGGAGGCCCUGCCCGUUGGCCGUCAUGGCUCCUAUAUAG